rnacentral:lncRNA from 1 species
CGCCCCAUAUACCUUGUAAAUUCAAAAGUCAACAAGACCUGGAAGUACAGGAGACCCUCCAGCUGGAGGAGGAAGUGGAGGACAGUGGGCCUUGCCUGUGAAGUCGGUCAAGGGCUGUUUCAGUGCCCUCUGCCCCUGCCCCUAGCUAGACUGCUCCACCCACGGAGUCCUGAGAUUUCCUGAUCUCUUACCUUCAUAUCCUGUCACCAGAGCUAUUCCAGCAACAGCUUAGAUGUGGACAUGGCCUUCAAAGCCACCUGUCUCAUAUAUUCCCACCACCUAUGGGGAGGUAGCAAGGAUGGGGAGUGCCUUGUUCAAGGCCAACGUUAGAGUAGAUAAAGUGGAAAGAGCCUGAGCUGCAGUCUGGAGGCCCAGGCUUGGCUCAGUGCAGCCUUACUUUCUCCACAGGUUCACGUGGAUAAAGGAGGGACUAGAGCUUCUGAAAGCAUAUUCCGCCUAUGGGACCACUCACUGCUCUUUGUAUUCAAAACACCAUCUUCCCGGAAAAACAAAGCUGGACCCUACCGGUUUGGGAGUCUGAUGCAGUGGACCCCCCAAGAACACUAAGCAAAGCUGUCAUUUACUUGUAUGGUCUUGAAUAUAAAUGUGAAAGCUGUUGGGACUUUCACAGUGAGAUGCGCAUCUGGCUGGUGUGGACAUGCUGAAGAGCCUGUUUCUAGAGGCAGAGCUGGGCCAGCGGCUUCCAGGCUUGGCAGAUGGCUUCCUGAUGCUUGCACUAGGAACGGCUGCCUUGGUGGUCCACUUCUGCAGCCCAGCUUUGGGAGCUGCUCCCGAAGAUGCAGCCCAGAGUCUGUUUCUUCAGCUUUCCAAAUAUUUCUGUAAGCCAUUCAAUACUGUU